rnacentral:rRNA from 1 species
UACAGAGGUCCCAAGCGUUGUUCGGAUUCAUUGGGCGUAAAGGGUGCGUAGGUGGCGUGGUAAGUCGGGUGUGAAAUUUCGGAGCUCAACUUCGAAACUGCAUUCGAUACUGCCAUGCUUGAGGACUGGAGAGGAGACUGGAAUUUACGGUGUAGCAGUGAAAUGCGUAGAGAUCGUAAGGAAGACCAGUGGCGAAGGCGGGUCUCUGGACAGUUCCUGACACUGAGGCACGAAGGCCAGGGGAGCAAACGGG